CCUACGGGAGGCAGCAGUAGGGAAUCUUCCGCAAUGGACGAAAGUCUGACGGAGCACGCCGCGUGAGUGAUGAAGGCUUUCGGGUCGUAAAACUCUGUUGUUAGGGAAGAACAAGUACGAGAGUAACUGCUCGUACCUUGACGGUACCUAACCAGAAAGCCACGGCUAACUACGUGCCAGCAGCCGCGGUAAUA
rnacentral:rRNA from 1 species